GCAGUCGAGGGGUAUUAGUUUUCGGACUAAGAGACCGGCGCACGGGUGCGUAACGCGUAUGCAAUCUACCUUUUACAGAGGGAUAGCCCAGAGAAAUUUGGAUUAAUACCUCAUAGUAUUAUAGAAUGGCAUCAUUUUAUAAUUAAAGUCACAACGGUAAGAGAUGAGCAUGCGUCCCAUUAGCUAGUUGGUAAGGUAACGGCUUACCAAGGCUACGAUGGGUAGGGGUCCUGAGAGGGAGAUCCCCCACACUGGUACUGAGACACGGACCAGACUCCUACGGGAGGCAGCAGUGAGGAAUAUUGGACAAUGGGCGCAAGCCUGAUCCAGCCAUGCCGCGUGCAGGAUGACGGUCCUAUGGAUUGUAAACUGCUUUUAUACGAGAAGAAACACUCCUUCGUGAAGGAGCUUGACGGUAUCGUAAGAAUAAGGAUCGGCUAACUCCGUGCCAGCAGCCGCGGUAAUACGGAGGAUCCAAGCGUUAUCCGGAAUCAUUGGGUUUAAAGGGUCCGUAGGCGGUUUGGUAAGUCAGUGGUGAAAGCCCAUCGCUCAACGGUGGAACGGCCAUUGAUACUGCCAGACUUGAAUUAUUAGGAAGUAACUAGAAUAUGUAGUGUAGCGGUGAAAUGCUUAGAGAUUACAUGGAAUACCAAUUGCGAAGGCAGGUUACUACUAAUGGAUUGACGCUGAUGGACGAAAGCGUGGGUAGCGAACAGGAUUAGAUACCCUGGUAGUCCACGCCGUAAACGAUGGAUACUAGCUGUUGGAAGCAAUUUCAGUGGCUAAGCGAAAGUGAUAAGUAUCCCACCUGGGGAGUACGUUCGCAAGAAUGAAACUCAAAGGAAUUGACGGGGGCCCGCACAAGCGGUGGAGCAUGUGGUUUAAUUCGAUGAUACGCGAGGAACCUUACCAAGGCUUAAAUGUAGAUUGACCGUU
rnacentral:rRNA from 1 species